CUCGAAACUUUGAAUUCUAGCUAGAUAAUAAACACAAUAGAUGAAUUAUAGCUAAUUGAACACUAAUUGAUUAUUAAACAUCAUUUAUACACAAUAUAUGCAUUCUAGCUAGAUAAAUAGAUGAAUCUCUAGACAUACCUAUAUUUUGAAGCCGGUGAUGCUUUUAGACCUCGAAACUUUGAAUCUGCAGUUCUGCACUAGAAAAAUAAAAUUGGUUAAUACAUAUGAAAUAUUAUUGACAACUAAUAUCACUAAUGCAUUUUUAAUGUGUGUGUGUCAUAAUAUAUAAUUAUAUAUACAUAUAUAUUAUGAAUUUUUCAUUUACAUUUAAUAUUAAAUUUAUAAUAUAUAUACAUAUUUUUAUAUUAUCACUAAUUAAUAUAUAUGUGUUAAGGGGUGUGUGUGUUUUAAAUUUAUAAUUCAAUUUUCAUUUUCUCCAAAUUUAUAAUUCAUUUUUCAUUUUUCAUUUUUUAUAAUUCAUUUUUCACAUUGGUUUGAAAUUUAUAAUUCAAUUUUCAUUUUUUAUUUUUUCCUCAUCCCUCUAAGGGGAGGAGAUCGAGGGGCGACGGCCGACCGGCGGGUGGCCUGUGGGCCGGCGCCGCGCGGUCCGCACGACCGCUCACCACCACCGACGAGCCAGGCCGGAGGCGCGCGGCGGACAAACGACGGGGCUGGGGUGGCAGCGGCGCGGAUAGACGCGACGUACAUGCUCAGCGGCGCGAAUCAGGUGGCGGGUGGACGACGAUCGGCGGCGGUGCGGGGAGGGCACGACGGCGGUUUUCUCUCAGGCGCGCGGCAGAUCGAAAUAGGGUUUGGGAGGGAAGGAAGAAGAAGGGGCUGCCAGCUUUAUACAGGAGAGGACCUUUAGUCCUGGUCCUAGUUACGCACCGGGACUAAAGCCCUUUUAGUCCCGGUCCGUAACUAGGACCGGGACUAAAGGGUUUUCACCAAAUCUCUGGUGCCACUCUAGGCGCCAAAAUUUGGUUUUUCUAUUUUUUCACUUAUUCUUCUUGUUAAAUACAUACUAAAUUAAAUGUUAAUGAAAAAAUUUUAAAAAAAUAUGCAUUAUUUUUCUAUGCCUCAUAUGUGCAUUAAAAAUUAUUUAUGAUGAAAUAUUUUUCAUAUGUUUUAUAAUAUUCAACAUAGAUGUUAUUUAUAUUGAAUAUUAUGUUAAUGCAAAAAUAUAACGCCAAAUUAAAAUAUCUAAAAUUGUUGGCUUUCGACAGAAACUUUGUUUUUGCAUCAUCUGGACGUUGGUUCUUCAAUAAUUAUUAACCAAAUAUGCGACAUUGAUUGUCUAAAUUUUAAACUUUAAAAAUUUCAGAGCUCCACAUCGGUUUUUGAAACCCUAGAUUGUCUCAACUGGAAAAGUCAUGAAUACAAUUUUUGUUACACUCAUCACGUUCUACAUUUGGUCUAAUGGUCAACUUUUCAUUUGGAAAAGUUUGAACCACUCAAUUUUGAAUUUUGAAAUAAUUCAUAGCCACACACCAGUUUUCAGAGUUUCAACCACUUAAUUUUGAAUUUUCAACACAUAAAGUUAUAAUUAUAUUACACAAGAUGUCAAAUACACAUUAUUAUCAGCUAUAUCAAGCAGGCACAGUGGUAAACUUCUUCUUGAUGUAAUGCCCUUGGUUAUGAUCAUUCCAUACCCAUAGAGUGUCCUUAGCAGCAAGCAUGAUGCUUGGGUCUUUGGCCACACAGAAGGGUGAGAUUCAUUCAUCUUUUUAAUAAUCCUCUGACAUGUCUGACUUGUCUUCAAUUCCCACAAUGUUUCUUUUCCCUGUAAGAACUAUAUGGUGUUUUGGCUCGUUAGUUUUUUUCUCGUCGUGUUUCCCUCUCUUGGGUUUUGUAGACAUGUCUUUCACAUAGAACACCUGAUUCACAUCAGCAGCAAGGAUAAAUGGAUCAUUUCUAUACCCAAUAUUGUUGAGGUCCACUAUUGUCAUUUCGUACUCCUUAUCGACUGAUACCCCUCCUCCGAUCAUCUUCACCCAUUAGCAUCGGAAUAGAGGGACUUUAAAAUUAUGUACAUAGUCUAGUUCUCAAAUCUUCUCUGUGCGACCAUAAUAAGUGUGUAUGUCCCCAUUUGGUUCUAUGGCAUCCACGCGGACACCACUGUUUUGGUUGGUACUCUUUUUAUCUUGGGAUACGGUGUAAAAUAUAUUUCCAUUUAUCUUGUACCCUUUGAAUGUGAGGACGUGCCACACUGGUUGCCUAGCCAACAAAUAUAAUUCAUCUCCAAUAUUUUUG
rnacentral:lncRNA from 1 species